CAAUAGCGUAUAUUGAAGUUGUUGCGGUUAAAAAGCUCGUCGUUGGAUUUCUGUUGAGGUCGAACAGUGCCGCCCUAUGGGUGCGCAACUGGCUCGGCUUCGGCAUCUUCUUGGAGAGCGCAUCUGCACUUAACUGUGUGGAUCGUACUUCAAGUCAGUUACUUUGAGGAAUUGUGAGUGUUUCAAGCAGGCUUACGCCGUUGAAUCCGUUAGCAUGGAAUAAUAGGAUAGGACCUCGGUUCUAUUUGUUGGUUCGGAAUUUGACGUAAUGAUUAAGAGGGACAGACGGGGGCAUUCGUAUUGCUACGUUAGAGGUGAAAUUCUUGGAUCGUAGCACGACGAACAACUGCGAAAGCAUUUGCCAAGAAUGUUUUCAUUA
rnacentral:rRNA from 1 species